rnacentral:rRNA from 1 species
GAUUUUGCCUUCGGGUACGAAUUGAGACAGGUGGUGCGAUGGUUGUCGUCAGCUCGUGUCGUGAGAUGUUGGGUUAAGUACCCGCAACGAGCGCAACCCUUGUGUUAGUUGCAAACAGGUCAAGCUGUGCACUCUAGACAGACUGCCGUGGACAACACGGAGGAAGGUGGGGAUGACGUCAAAUCAUCAUGCCCCUUAUGAUCUGGGCUACACACGUGCUACAAUGGCCGGUACAACGGGCAGCGAAGGAGCGAUCCGGAGCGAAUCCUAAAAAGCCGGUCCCAGUUCGGAUUGCAGGCUGAAACUCGCCUACAUGAAGUUGGAGUUGCUAGUAAUCGCGAAUCAGAAUGUCGCGGUGAAUGCGUUCCCGGGUCUU